AGACUUGAAAUAUCAAAAUUAAUCAAAAACAUAUUUAAGAGAUUAUUUGAAACCUAUUUGCAGAGUCAAAGGACUAUUUUUGCCACCGUCUCUAACUUUCGACAUCAAAAUGAUGUUCGCUACUCGAAGGAUUGAUUUUUUUUUUUUAAUUAAAAAGCCGCCCAGAAAGCCAUUUAUUAACAAAUAUGCAAAUUGGAUAAAAUCCGAUUGGCCCAAGUCUAAUAACAAAAAUCCGACAUAAAUCUACUUAGGAAACUUCUAGUAGACAAAUAAGGAAAGCCAUUGGUCACUCCUUCAACUGUUCAUCUUCUUCGUUGUUUCCAUAGCUGGUCGCCGAUUUUCAUCACCGUCCUCAGCUGCUGAAACAUAGCUCAUUGAGCUCCAAUAAAGCUUGUUAAAGUCGUAACCCAAGCAAACAAAGAAAUCAAAAGCUCGAACAUCCAACUAGCUAGAUUCAAAGUCAAUCCGUUUGAAGCUCAAGUAGAUAACACCAUGGAAACUCAAAAAAUUCUCACAAGUCCCGUGUAUCUGACUCAGUGAAGACUCCUUCAACUUCAAACACUAUCAAUUUUGUAGAUCUAAAACCUCGAAUGAGCACCUCAAGGUGCUAAUACCACUGUUCAGGGAUUCAAUCUUUCAAUUUCAGUUACUCUACCAGACUUUUUCAUCUCUGCAAUUGCCCAUGCAUCUGGAUCACCCAACACUUUGCCGCUUGAGAGAGUUCUUGGAGGAUACAGGUUCAGACGCUCAGUUCCCAGAUGGUGCAUAGACGUUCUAGCUUAUCAGUCGUAGCAGUGGUGAGAUUACUCUUAUCAGGCUGCAGAUGAACUUCCAAAAGCACUAGAUGUCAUGAACAUACAGAACAAAUCAAAUGGUGAUGAUACUUUGUAAAUGGACUCAGGUUCAACUAGCCACAUGACAAACAAUUCAGGACAAGAAGACAAGGACACUACAGGAUAAGGGAUCUAAGAGGAAUGAACCCUAUGCCUUGGAAGCCAACAACCUCUAUGCAUUGACUGCUAUACAAGACUGGAAGACAUCAGACAAUAUUUGGCAUAAUAGAUUAGGACAUCCUAGUUUAAAGAUUUUAAAAUUUUUAAUAGUAGUAGUUGCAUUAAUGUUAGUAGUUGGAAUAAAAUACCUGUUGUUUUCUCUAGUUGUCAGUUGGACAAAGGUUGUAAACUACCAUUUGGCUUGAGAAUAAAAUUGAGAAAGAACCUUUGUUAAAAAUUCAUUAUGAUAUUUGGGGUCCUACACCUAUUGAAUCCA